UCAUUACCGAGUUUUCGGGCUUCGGCUCGACUCUCCCACCCUUUGUGAACGUACCUCUGUUGCUUUGGCGGCUCCGGCCGCCCAAGGACCUCCAAACUCCAGUCAGUAAACGCAGACGUCUGAUAAACAAGUUAAUAAACUAAAACUUUCAACAACGGAUCUCUUGGUUCUGGCAUCGAUGAAGAACGCAGCGAAAUGCGAUAAGUAAUGUGAAUUGCAGAAUUCAGUGAAUCAUCGAAUCUUUGAACGCACAUUGCGCCCCUUGGUAUUCCGGGGGGCAUGCCUGUUCGAGCGUCAUUACAACCCUCAAGCUCUGCUUGGAAUUGGGCACCGUCCUCACUGCGGACGCGCCUCAAAGACCUCGGCGGUGGCUGUUCAGCCCUCAAGCGUAGUAGAAUACACCUCGCUUUGGAGUGGUUGGCGUCGCCCGCCGGACGAACCUUCUGAACUUUUCUCAAGGUUGACCUCGGAUCAGGUAGGGAUACCCGCUGAACUUAAGCAUAUCA
rnacentral:rRNA from 1 species